AGGAGGCAAGCGUUAUCCGGAAUUAUUGGGCGUAAAGCGUCCGCAGGGGGCACUUCAAGUCUGCUGUCAAAGGUCGGAGCUUAACUCCGGUUCGGCAGUGGAAACUGGAGUGCUAGAGGGCGACAGGGGUAGAGGGAAUUCCCAGUGUAGCGGUGAAAUGCGUAGAGAUUGGGAAGAGCACCGGUGGCGAAAGCGCUCUACUGGGUCGCACCUGACCCUCAGGGACGAAAGCUAAGGUAGCGAUAGGGAUUAGAUACUCCUGUAGUCUUAGCCGUAAACGAUGGAUACUAGGCGUGGUUUGUAUCGACCCAAGCCGUGCCGAAGCUAACGCGUUAAGUAUCCCGCCUGGGGAGUACGCACGCAAGUGUGAAACUCAAAGGAAUUGACGGGGGCCCGCACAAGCGGUGGAGGAUGUGGUUUAAUUCGAUGCAACGCGAAGAACCUUACCAGGGCUUGACAUCCCGCGAAUCUUGCUGAAAGGCGAGAGUGCCUUCGGGAGCGCGGAGACAGGUGGUGCAUGGCUGUCGUCAGCUCGUGUCGUGAGAUGUUGGGUUAAGUCCCGCAACGAGCGCAACCCUCGUCCUUAGUUGCCAGCAUUAAGUUGGGCACUCUAGGGAGACUGCCGGUGACAAACCGGAGGAAGGUGAGGAUGACGUCAAGUCAGCAUGCCCCUUAUGCUCUGGGCAACACACGUCCUACAAUGGUCGGGACAAAGGGGAGCAAGCUCGCGAGAGUAAGCGAAUCCCAGCAAACUCGGCCUCAGUUCAGAUUGCAGGCUGCAACUCGCCUGCAUGAAGGAGGAAUCGCUAGUAAUCGCAGGUCAGCAUACUGCGGUGAAUUCGUUCCCGGGCCUUGUNACACACCGCCCGUCACACCAUGGAAGCUGGCCAAGCCCGAAGUCGUUACCCUAACCGUUUGGAGGGGGCGCCGAAGGCUGGGCUAGUGACUGGGGUGAAGUC
rnacentral:rRNA from 1 species